ACGUUAGCGGCGGACGGGUGAGUAACACGUGGGUAACCUACCUAUAAGACUGGGAUAACUUCGGGAAACCGGAGCUAAUACCGGAUAAUAUUUCGAGCCGCAUGGUUCGAUAGUGAAAGGUGGUUUUGCUAUCACUUAUAGAUGGACCCGCGCCGUAUUAGCUAGUUGGUAAGGUAACGGCUUACCAAGGCGACGAUACGUAGCCGACCUGAGAGGGUGAUCGGCCACACUGGAACUGAGACACGGUCCAGACUCCUACGGGAGGCAGCAGCC
rnacentral:rRNA from 1 species